rnacentral:rRNA from 1 species
UAGGGAAUCUUCCACAAUGGACGGCAAGUCUGAUGGAGCAACGCCGCGUGAGUGAAGAAGAUCUUCGGAUCGUAAAACUCUGUUGUUAGAGAAGAACACGAGUGAGAGUAACUGUUCAUUCGAUGACGGUAUCUAACCAGCAAGUCACGGCUAACUACGUGCCAG